rnacentral:rRNA from 1 species
AUUGAACGCUGGCGGCAGGCCUAACACAUGCAAGUCGAGCGGAUGAAGGGAGCUUGCUCCUGGAUUCAGCGGCGGACGGGUGAGUAAUGCCUAGGAAUCUGCCUGGUAGUGGGGGAUAACGUCCGGAAACGGGCGCUAAUACCGCAUACGUCCUGAGGGAGAAAGUGGGGGAUCUUCGGACCUCACGCUAUCAGAUGAGCCUAGGUCGGAUUAGCUAGUUGGUGGGGUAAAGGCCUACCAAGGCGACGAUCCGUAACUGGUCUGAGAGGAUGAUCAGUCACAGUGGAACUGAGACCGGGCACAGCCUCCGGCGGGAGGCGCCAGGGGGGAAUUUUGGACAGGGGGCGAAAGCUUUAUCCACCCGUGCGGGGUGUGUGAAGAAGGUCUUCGGUUUUAAAAGUUUUUUAAUUGGGGAGAAAGGGAAUAAAUUAAAUCCCUUGUUUUUUUGACGUUCCCAAAAAAAUAACCCCCGGCUAACUUCGGC